rnacentral:rRNA from 1 species
AUACAGAGGUCCCAAGCGUUGUUCGGAAUCACUGGGCGUAAAGGGUGCGUAGGCGGUAGUGUAAGACUUAGGUGAAAUCUCCAUGCUUAACGUGGAGCUCGCCUGGGAGACUGCAUUACUUGAGGAUUGGAGGGGAGACUGGAAUUCUUGGAGUAGCAGUGAAAUGCGUAGAUAUCAAGAGGAGGACCAGUGGCGAAGGCGAGUCUCUGGACAAUACCUGACGCUGAGGCACGAAGGCCAGGGGAUCAAACGGGAUUAGAUACCCCGGUAGUCCUGGCAGUAAACGGUGCACACUUGUUGUGUGAGGGAUCGACCCCUUACGUGGCGAAGCCAACGCAUUAAGUGUGCCGCCUGGGGAGUACGGUCGCAAGACUAAAACUCAAAGGAAUCGGCGGGG